AUCAUCAGAGUCUGAGUUAGCGGUCGAGUCGGAGAUGACAUCAGCUAUUAUAGUCCAAGACAGAGAAUGGAUUGGAUCCUGUACCCCAUUCUUGCAUUCUGUCUCUUGCGUCUGCGAUUAGGUAGCAGCUUCAAUCCUUAUAUCAUCCUAGCUCCGAUUUCAGACUUUAAUCAACCCUACCCAGAUCUGCUGCUGCGGGUUCAGAACUGACUUAGUUGACCGCCAAGCCCCGCUGCCAAUUUCACAGAGGUUACAGAGAAAGAUUAAAGAUGGUUCUUUUUAAAGGGUGAGGCUUUGAUAAUUUCUCUUAGUUGUUUGGCUUUGUAUAGCUUGUUUUUGGAAAGUGGUGGUGCAAGGCUUUUGCUAUGGUGGAAGAAGGAAAACGAGGCAAUGUGGGAAGCUUCUUGUGUGAUGUGUAUUGCUGAGAUCGAAGGAAGAGAGUGGCAUCUUGUGCAGAUUUUAAGCUUUGGAACUUGGCCGUUCAUGAACGACGUUAUGUUCCAUCAUUGGAAACUGCAGCAGCCAAGCACGUUGAGACUCCUGCAGUUCAUGAACGACCAUAUCAGUCUAAACGCAAGAGAAGUUUUCUCGGCCAUUCUUGAACGACCAUGGUUGUCUUCAAAAGGGUAUUGGUUGUUCAUGAACAACCCCUUUUGUUUGAAGCAAACCUGUUAAUUCUCCGCCAAAGAAGACAAGAACAACAUGAUGCAACAUAUACCUGAACUUCUCCGUCCGAGCUGCUUUGAUUUUGCUCUCUGUUUUGGCAGAGUCUUGGCUUCUUGCUUGCAGAUUUUUCUUCUCUCCUCCUCUUCUCUUCACACCACUACCUUUAUAUAGUAGUGUACUUGCUGAUCGGAUAGCUACCAGCCUCCCCAUACUUGUAAUUUAAAAUUUGAAUGAGAUGUGUUUAUCUCCAACUAUAUUGCAUGACAGUGUAUCUAUCUUUGACGUUUAAAUUGGUCAAACUUUGACUAGCAAUAUAUCUUCUUUGCUUGCCGUUUGAAUUUAUUCAAAGCCAA